CACCUCCUUUCUAAGGAAACAUAAAAUCAUCAGUCUUCAGUUUUGAAAGACUUAGUCAAGUUUUUCUGAUUUAUUUUGUUUUUCUGAUAUCCUGGGCCUAUAGCUCAGUUGGUUAGAGCACACGCCUGAUAUGCUGUGAGGUCGGUGGUUCGAGUCCAUUUAGGCCCACCAAACGUCUUAAGCGUUGUUAUCAAAAAAAGUUCUUUGAAAAGUAGAUAAACAAGAAAACAGCGACUUUUUAUUAAAGGAA
rnacentral:misc_RNA from 1 species